CAACUACUCCCUCUGUCCCAAAUUUCUUGUCUUAGAUUUGCCUAGAUACGGAUGUAUCUAAUACUAAAAUGUGACUUGAUACAUCCGUAUCUAGACAAAUCUAAGACAAGAAUUUUGGGACGGAGGGAGUACUUU
rnacentral:pre_miRNA from 1 species